GCCACCCCUGAGACAGCAAGACCAACAACCCCUUCUCUUCCUCUUCAGCCUACUCAGUGUGAAGAUGAUAAAAUGAAACAGUUGGUGAUGUUUCAGAGAACCCAACUCAAACUGACUUGAACAAGAGAAAUCAGUGUUUACUGCAGAGAACACAGAAGCCAGCAAGCAGCAGGGAAGGGAGGCGAACCAAUGCAGCAGCCCACCGGGACCGAGGAGGACACACGCAGAGCAAGUCACAGGAAGCGCAGCUGAAAACAAAUGGACGCUUAUCCCAAAUGCACAGGACACUUACCAAGAACUGAUGGUCCGUCAAAGUAAAGCUCAACAGCUUUGGCUGGCAGGACAGUCAAACUUUUGGACGACAGAAAGUAACAGUGGGAAAUGGGACAACAUCUGCCAGCAACGCGAGAGGCCAAGACCAUGGCUGCUACAGGAGGGGUCAGCGUCACAGUACACGCAUGGCGGCGGUUGCACAUGCAUGCCUGGGGAAUGUGAGUGUUCAGACAUGCCAGGAGUCCAGCCUCACCAGGAAACAGGCACACGGGGACAGAGGCGCAAACACUGAAAACUCUCGCUGAAUCCACUCGGCUGAGCGGUGGUCACGAGAGCACGGCCCUGCGCUCCCCACAAAACUGCACCUGGGCCCCAGGGCGAGACAGGCGUGGAAGGUGCAGGGGUGUGUGUGGGGGCAGGGGCUCCUGGCUCAGAGCCGUAUCCAGGAACCCCCCUUCAGGCUGGAGCCCUGCCCUGAGCCCCCUGUGGAGAGACUGUGGAGAGCCCCCUGUGGAGAGGGUGACUGUGGGAGAGCAGCAUCAGGCCUAGUCUCGGCUGUGAAGUACCCCCCACCUCCACGCAGGAUCCCGGGGAUUCUGUCAAGGUGGGGGCCGCCUGCUCAGCCCAGGCUCCCUGAACGUGUGGCUAGCUGAGUUUGCGGAAGAAACCAGGAGAGUGCCAACACCAGGCUUGCAAGCAAGAGGCUCCCUGACUGCCUGAUCCUGGAGCGCACCCCAUCCUCCCUGUGUUCCCUGGGCCUCAGCUGUUCCCCAGUGACCUUGGAGACACCCUGCCCCACCCUGGCUCCACAGGAGCCCUGCCCAUCACCGCCUCAGCUCUGAGUCUCCCCUGGGGACACAACCUUCCUCCUGGUGCAGAGGCGCAGGAUGCUGCCCCUAAGGCCCAUCUUCCUCUGCAGCAUGUUUUGAUGUCAGCUCAUUCACAGGAAAGAAACAAUCACAUCUCAGUGCCCAGAAUGGGGACCAAUAGGAGAGGUCACUGGGAAUAAAGCCCACACGCACCCCAGGGUCCAUGGGCUCCCCAGAAAUGCAGGUGGCCUCCGCCAGAGCCAACAAGCCUAAGUUGCUGAUCAGCCCCUCCCUGCUUCCCUGUGUGGAAGAGGAAACAGAGGCCCAGACUAGUAGGGCUCUGCCGUGGUGGCCGGCUGCGUCCCCAGACCUCUGGUCCCAGGGCUGGCUGGGAGUGCCCCUCCCUGUGCUCACUUCCUGCUCUCCUGGGAAAUGGCUCAGGGAUGGGGCGUGUGGGGACAGAUGCUGGCAUAGCUCACAAAAUGCUUGCACAAGGGACACUCCAUGGCAGGUCCCUGCAGGAGAGCAAAGUCACAACAUUCAGAGAUUCCCUGCACUCUGAGGCCCGCAGAGCCUGGCCGACCAAGCGAGGCUGGGAGGAUGUUGCCUGCUGGUCAGGGCAGCCCUCUGAUCAGGGCGGCCGAGUGAGGCUGGGAGGAUGGUGCCCGCUGGUCAGGGCAGCUGAGCGUGGCUGGGAGGAUGGUGCCUGCUGGUCAGGGCAGCCCUCUGGUCAGGGUGGCCAAGCGAGGCAGGGAGGGAGGUACCCACCGGUCAGGGCAGCCGAACAAAGCUGGAAAGAUGGUGCCUGCUGGUCAGGGCGGCUGAAUGAGGCUGGGAGGAUGGUGUCUGCUGGUCAGGGCAGCUCAGGAGGUGCUGCCCAGGAGGUGCUGUCCAGGCAGAGCCUAGGGCUGGUGUGGGUGUGCCAUGCUCCUGAGAAGUUUCUGGGUUGUGGCUUUAAUGUUCUCCUGCAGUGAGAACGCUGACACUUGGCCAAAGGGUCCUCACCUCUCCCCUAGUACACUUCUGAGAUGCCAGGAAGGUUCUGAACAUCAGAUUGAUUCCUGGGACUCCCCUCCAGGGUGGCCUUACUGGAGUCAGGAGCCCCUGCCCCACUAGGAUGGCUCUGCAGUGGCCUGAGGACAGUGAGCACUGACUGGUCACUGGUGCAAAGUUGCCCACUGUGAUGGUUUUGACCGUUGAUGGGAACCAAGUGAAAGCCCUGCAGCUAUUUCUAGGCAUUUCAGAGGGUGCUUCCCUGCAUGUACUCUGCUGCAGACCAUCCUCCCUGGGCCAGGAGCCCGCUACACAGUAGGAGAUUCUUUUUCUUCUCUUUUGAGCACUUUUAUUCUCUUUUUCUUAAUCUCUGCUCCUCCUUUGAACUGAGAAAUGUGCAAAUCUUUUUUGUUAGUUUUGAGGUUGCUUCUUAUGCAUAUUUCAUCUGGAACUUUCCCCUUUGGGGGUGAUCUGUUCUAUCAGCCUGCCCGCUGCUAGAGAGGCCGAGGUGGUCCGGCCAGCCGUGCGCUGCUGCUGGUGUCUCUGUGGGCAUGACCUGGUGAGAUAUCAUUCUGCAUCUGGGGGUCCAUCCUAUCAGCCCUGUGUUCUAGAUUCCCCAGUGACUGACAUUUAGCCAGUCUCCUCUGUCACUCUCCAGUGACAUGUACACACUGUUGGCACGAACUGCAGAUGUCACGUUCUGUGGCUGAGAGCCUCAGUGUGCAUCUGUAGUAGGAGGAUGUCAGUGAGGACUGUCCUGUCGCUGCUGAGCUGGCACCGACUGUGCCUGGUCUACACUCCAGGUCUGCCAAACGACCCAGCAAGGUCCUUCACAACUCUUCUGAUCCAGGAUCACACAUCACUUGUGCUUUGAUGCCUGCUUCUGAACAAUUUUACCUCCUGAGAUGUCCAUUUUUGGGAGUGUGAGCCCUCCUCUCCUGGUGACAGCUGGCUGAGGCCGUCCAGCCUCAGGACACACAGGGAACGGCUGCAUAAGGAGAUCUGGGGCAGGGGGCCCACCAGGAUGUUCUGCCCUGUGGGGGGCAACACCGGCUGUGGUCUGCCGGCGGCAUCCAGGGACAGUCUGUCUAGGUGAGGCUGAGGCCGCCCCCACUCGCUCCCUCACCCCCAUGCUGACAGCAGUGAGCUGACCACAGACUGGGGGAGCCCCACAGGGAGACUGGCCUCCCCAGCACAUGCCCCGCAGUGCCAGACGCGGUCAUCACAGAGGCAGGUACACGACACCACGGACGUGCCACGUACCCGCCAUCGGGACCAAGGACCACUGAGAAACCAUGAAGGCCAUGCAGCGACUGUGGUGGCAGGACCGUCAGGAGGCCAUAGGUGCCACGGCUCCCCUCUGGUGGUUCACCUGCCCACCUGUAGCUGGGGUGGCCCCUCCAGUGCGCUCCCCAGAGCAGAACACCCCCCAGGCAACACGUCUGAUGAAGGCCAACAGCGUCAGUCCUCUGGUGUUUGGUGACAUCAAAGCUGUGCCGAAAGGCCUUCCCUCACUGCUAACACUUGAAGGGCUUCUGUCCGGUGUGGACCCUCUGAUGGCGAAUGUGGUCUGUCUUAUGCUUAAAGAUCCACCUCCAUUAACUGCACUCUUAGGGUUUCUUCCUCUGAAAAGGAAUGAACACGGGAACCCCCUCAAAGGCAUUUUUAAAUGAAGCGUGGAAGGCAUCAAAGAUGUGCUCUUCUUCAGGACUCAGGCUUCUCCAUCAUUCUCUGUUCCUUGGAAGCGUGAGGGCUAAGGAGCUGCUGACUUCUCUCUCUUGGCCCCACUUCAAGAAAGGCUUGCUUCCCACACACCUCUCCACGCUCCCAGUGCGGGACUGACACUCUGCACCGGGAGGCCAAGGGCCACCAUCGUCUUGCUGAUUAUAUGUCAAGUUCUGUGUGAAAUGAGAGACCAUGGGGAUUCAUUAUUGCUGGAGUUGACGCUUUGAGAUUUUAUGGAACAAUGUAGACUCAUGCCCAGUAACAGAUCUGGAGAGGAGAAACAGGCUAAAAGCCAAUAUGUUUCACAAGAGCAACUGAAACCAAUAUUUCAAAUGAAGAACUGACUCGUACACAGGUACUGUAAGAAUCCUGGGAAGUGGAAAGAGAUUCCAAUCUCACCUCAUCAGGGAGCAUCGAAUGCUCUCUUAAGCUCAAUAGGAAGAAGUGAGGCUACUUUCAGAUUUCUCUAUCCCAAUGGCUUCAAUUGUACUAAGGUAAAAACUAUUUGACAGAGUGUAAUUUUUCUGCAGUUGUGACAUGAACAGUCCAGUUUGUGUCAAAAGAAUACUUCCCUCAAUGAGAAUGUGGUUUUGAUUAGAGAUAUUUCUAGUAUUAAACAUAACAUAAUAGCUAACAUUUAAUGAGCUCUUACUAUUUGACAUGGAACUAAGUGUUUUCCAAGGAUUAUUAUUAUUAUAAUGAAUCCUCACAAAUAUUAUGACAUUGGAUUUUCAAUAGCCUCAUCUAAUAGACACUCAACUAAGGUAAGGGACAGAGCUGGGAUUUAAACCUGGGGCAUGCUCUGUUUUUUCUGGUGCUGUGUCUCAAGUUACAGAGGCUUGAGGUCUUUUCUAAGUAAUACCUAUAGCUCCUUGUCUCCCAGAAGAGACCUAUUAUUUAGGGAAUCCUUAAAGCUUUUGUCUUGCCUGCUUGCGACUACUUCUAUUGCUUGCAGCAUAUUCCUCAGCAACUUCAUGGUUUUCUGGGCAGAGUGUUGGAAAUUAUGUGGUAGGAUGGAUUUAAGAGUUGAAGGGUUGUUUACUGAUAUGAUUUGGCUCUGUGUCCCCAUCCAAAUCUCAUCUUGAAUUGUAAUCCCCAGGUGUUGAGGGAGGGACCAGCUGGGAGGUGAUUGGAUCAUGGGGGUGGUUUCCCCCACACUGUUCUCGUGAUAGUGAGUGAGUUCUCAAGAGAUCUCAUGGUUUUAUAAGGGGGUGGGGGCGGCUCUUCCCCUUUCACUUACUCACUCCCUCUUGCCAUCUUGUGAAGAAGGUGUCUGCUUCCCCUUCGCCUUCCACUAUGAUUGUAAGUUUCCUGUAAGAGGCCUCCCCAGCCAUGCAGAACUGUGAGUCAAUUAAACCUCCUUCCUUUAUAAAUUACCCAGUCUCAGACGGUAUUCUACAGCAGUG
rnacentral:lncRNA from 1 species